rnacentral:rRNA from 1 species
AACUGAUUGAACGUGCUUGCACGGACUUGACGUUGGUUUACCAGCGAGUGGCGGACGGGUGAGUAACACGUAGGUAACCUGCCCCAAAGCGGGGGAUAACAUUUGGAAACAGAUGCUAAUACCGCAUAACAAUUUGAAUCGCAUGAUUCAAAUUUAAAAGAUGGCUUCGGCUAUCACUUUGGGAUGGACCUGCGGCGCAUUAGCUUGUUGGUAGGGUAACGGCCUACCAAGGCUGUGAUGCGUAGCCGAGUUGAGAGACUGAUCGGCCACAAUGGAACUGAGACACGGUCCAUACUCCUACGGGAGGCAGCAGUAGGGAAUCUUCCACAAUGGGCGCAAGCCUGAUGGAGCAACACCGCGUGAGUGAAGAAGGGUUUCGGCUCGUAAAGCUCUGUUGUUAGAGAAGAACGUGCGUGAGAGCAACUGUUCACGCAGUGACGGUAUCUAACCAGAAAGUCACGGCUAACUACGUGCCAGCAGCCGCGGUAAUACGUAGGUGGCAAGCGUUAUCCGGAUUUAUUGGGCGUAAAGCGAGCGCAGGCGGUUUGAUAAGUCUGAUGUGAAAGCCUUUGGCUUAACCAAAGAAGUGCAUCGGAAACUGUCAGACUUGAGUGCAGAAGAGGACAGUGGAACUCCAUGUGUAGCGGUGGAAUGCGUAGAUAUAUGGAAGAACACCAGUGGCGCAGGCGGCUGUCUGGUCUGCAACUGACGCUGAGGCU